CACGUAGGGGGCAAGCGUUGUCCGGAUUUAUUGGGCGUAAAGAGCUCGUAGGUGGUUCGGUAAGUCGGGUGUGAAACCUCCAGGCUCAACCUGGAGACGCCACCUGAUACUGCUGUGACUGGAGUCCGGUAGGGGAGCGUGGAAUUCCUGGUGUAGCGGUGAAAUGCGCAGAUAUCAGGAGGAACACCAGCGGCGAAGGCGGCGCUCUGGGCCGGUACUGACACUGAGGAGCGAAAGCGUGGGUAGCAAACAGG
rnacentral:rRNA from 2 species